rnacentral:rRNA from 1 species
GACGAACGCUGGCGGCGCGCCUAACACAUGCAAGUCGAACGAGCGAGAGAGAGCUUGCUUUCUCGAGCGAGUGGCGAACGGGUGAGUAACGCGUGAGGAACCUGCCUCAAAGAGGGGGACAACAGUUGGAAACGACUGCUAAUACCGCAUAAGCCCACGGGUCGGCAUCGACCAGAGGGAAAAGGAGCAAUCCGCUUUGAGAUGGCCUCGCGUCCGAUUAGCUAGUUGGUGAGGUAACGGCCCACCAAGGCAACGAUCGGUAGCCGGACUGAGAGGUUGAACGGCCACAUUGGGACUGAGACACGGCCCAGACUCCUACGGGAGGCAGCAGUGGGGAAUAUUGCACAAUGGGGGAAACCCUGAUGCAGCGACGCCGCGUGGAGGAAGAAGGUCUUCGGAUUGUAAACUCCUGUUGUUGAGGAAGAUAAUGACGGUACUCAACAAGGAAGUGACGGCUAACUACGUGCCAGCAGCCGCGGUAAAACGUAGGUCACAAGCGUUGUCCGGAAUUACUGGGUGUAAAGGGAGCGCAGGCGGGAAGACAAGUUGGAAGUGAAAUCUAUGGGCUCAACCCAUAAACUGCUUUCAAAACUGUUUUUCUUGAAUAGUGCAGAGGUAGGCGGAAUUCCCGGUGUAGCGGUGGAAUGCGUAGAUAUCGGGAGGAACACCAGUGGCGAAGGCGGCCUACUGGGCACCAACUGACGCUGAGGCUCGAAAGUGUGGGUAGCAAACA